rnacentral:misc_RNA from 1 species
GAUGAAGAACGUAGCGAAAUGCGAUAAGUAAUGUGAAUUGCAGAAUUCAGUGAAUCAUCGAAUCUUUGAACGCACCUUGCGCCCUUUGGCCAUUCCGAAGGGCAUGCCUGUUUGAGUAUCAUGAACACCUCAACUCUUCAUGGUUUUCCGUGAUGAGCUUGGACUUUGGGGGUCUUGCUGGCCUAUGGUCAGCUCCUCUAAAAUAAAUCAGCUUGCCAGUGUUUGGUGGGUAUCACAGGUGUGAUAACUAUCUACGCUUGUGGUUUUCCACCAGGUAACCUUUAGCAGUGGAGGUUCGCUGGAGCUCACAGAUGUGUCUCUCCUCAGUGAGGACAGCUCUUUGAAUGUUUGAUCUCAAAUCAGGUAGGACUACCCGCUGAACUUAAGCAUAUCAAUAAGCGGAGGA